rnacentral:tRNA from 1 species
CGACUGUUCAGGUCGGCGUGCAGGUCCCAGCGGGCCAGUGUCGUGCAGGCGGCACGCAGGUCGACCGUGGCGCCGUUCGAGGCGGUGCCGGUCGGC